UUCCUGGAGACAAUAGCGCUAUGGAACCACCUGAUCCCGUCCCGAACUCAGAAGUGAAACGUAGCAGCGCCGAUGGUAGUGUGGGAGUUCCCAUGUGAGAGUAGGUCAUUUCCAGGGCUU
rnacentral:rRNA from 1 species